rnacentral:rRNA from 1 species
UGGGGAAUUUUGGACAAUGGGCGCAAGCCUGAUCCAGCCAUGCCGCGUGCGGGAAGAAGGCCUUCGGGUUGUAAACCGCUUUUGUCAGGGAAGAAAUCUUCUGAGUUAAUACCUCGGGAGGAUGACGGUACCUGAAGAAUAAGCACCGGCUAACUACGCGCCAGCAGCCGCGGUAAUACGUAGGGUGCAAGCGUUAAUCGGAAUUACUGGGCGUAAAGCGUGCGCAGGCGGUUUUGUAAGACAGAGGUGAAAUCCCCGGGCUCAACCUGGGAACUGCCUUUGUGACUGCAAGGCUUGAGUGCGGCAGAGGGGGGAUGGAAUUCCGCGUGUAGCAGUGAAAUGCGUAGAUAUGCGGAGGAACACCGAUGGCGAAGGCAAUCCCCUGGGCCUGCACUGACGCUCAUGCACGAAAGCGUGGGGAGCAAACAGGAUUAGAUACCCUGGUAGUCCACGCCCUAAACGAUGUCAACUGGUUGUUGGGAAGGUUCCUUCUCAGUAACGUAGCUAACGCGUGAAGUUGACCGCCUGGGGAGUACGGCCGCAAGGUUG